GAUGAACGCUAGCUACAGGCUUAACACAUGCAAGUCGAGGGGCAGCACAGUGUAGCAAUACAUGGGUGGCGACCGGCGCACGGGUGCGUAACGCGUAUCCAACCUUCCCGUUACUCAGGGAUAGCCUUCCGAAAGGGAGAUUAAUACCUGAUGGUGUUCAAAUUCCGCAUGUUAUUUGAACUAAAGAUUUAUCGGUAACGGAUGGGGAUGCGUGACAUUAGGUAGAUGGCGGGUAACGGCCCACCAUGCCUACGAUGUCUAGGGGUUCUGAGAGGAAGGUCCCCCACACUGGAACUGAGACACGGUCCAGACUCCUACGGGAGGCAGCAGUGAGGAAUAUUGGUCAAUGGUCUGACGACUGAACCAGCCAUGCCGCGUGAAGGUGACGGCCCUAUGGGUCUUAAACUUCUUUUGUAAGGGAGCAAUAAGUCUUACGUGUAGGAUGAUGAGAGUACCUUACGAAUAAGCAUCGGCUGACUCCGUGCCAGCAGCC
rnacentral:rRNA from 1 species